rnacentral:rRNA from 1 species
CAAUAGCGUAUAUUAAAGUUGUUGCAGUUAAAAGCUCGUAGUUGAACUUCGGAACCGGUCGAUUGGUCCGUCCUCUGGAUUGUGUACUGAUCGAUCUGUUCUUCUUCGCGAAGACCGCGUGUGCCCUUAACUGGGUGUGCACGGGAUUCACGACGUUUACUUUGAAAAAUUAGAGUGUUCAAAGCAGGCAUUCGCUUGAAUAUCUCAGCAUGGAAUAAUAGAAUAGGACUUUGGUCUUAUUUUGUUGGUUUCCGAGACCGAAGUAAUGAUUAAUAGGGACAGUUGGGGGCGAUUCGUAUUUCUAUUGUCAGAGGUGGAAAUUACUUGGAGUUAUUGAAAGACGAACUUCUGCGAAGACAUUUGUCCAAGGAUGUUUUCUAUUAA